rnacentral:rRNA from 1 species
UACGGAGGGGGCUAGCGUUGUUCGGAAUUACUGGGCGUAAAGCGCACGUAGGCGGAUCAGUCAGUCAGGGGUGAAAUCCCGGGGCUCAACCCCGGAACUGCCUUUGAUACUGCUGGUCUGGAGGAUGAGAGAGGCGAGUGGAAUUCCGAGUGUAGAGGUGAAAUUCGUAGAUAUUCGGAGGAACACCAGUGGCGAAGGCGGCUCGCUGGCUCAUUUCUGACGCUGAGGUGCGAAAGCGUGGGGAGCAAACAGGAUUAGAAACCCCUGUAGUCC